rnacentral:sRNA from 12 species
UCACCGGGUGCAAAGUUAGGACUUGUAUGCGUAAUUCCGGCUACCUGAUAUUAUCGAAAGAGG